rnacentral:ncRNA from 1 species
AGGUGCACUUAGCUGUGCUUAAUUGGGAAUGUGAGUGAGAAUCUCCGACUGUCCCGCAGCAGUGAACUCCAUUAUGGCUCCUAAGCAUAAACGCCAUUGAGUAUUUGCUCGAGAAGGCGCUUGGGAGUGGAGGAAAGUCUGAAGACCAGCCUUUUUCGGUU